rnacentral:rRNA from 1 species
UACGGAAGGCAGCAGUGGGGAAUAUUGCACAAUGGGCGAAAGCCUGAUGCAGCUAUGCCGCGUGUAUGAAGAAGGCCUUAGGGUUGUAAAGUACUUUCAUCGGGGAGGAAAAAAACAAAAACUAAUAAUUUUAUUUUCUUUGACGUUACCCGAAAAAGAAGCACCGGCUAACUCCGUGCCAGCAGCCGCGGUAAUACGGAGGGUGCUAGCGUUAAUCAGAAUUACUGGGCGUAAAGAGCACGUAGGUGAUUUUUUUAAGUUCAGAUGUGAAAUCCCUGGGCUUAACCUAGGAACUGCAUUUUGAAACUGAAAUACUAGAGUAUCGUAGAGGGAGGUAGAAUUCUAGGUGUAGCGGUGAAAUGCGUAGAUAUCUGGAGGAAUACCUGUGGCGAAAGCGGCCUCCUAAACGAAUACUGACACUGAGGUGCGAAAGCGUUGGGGAGCAAACAGGGAUUUAGAUACC